GGGCCGGUAGCUCAGCUAGGAAGAGCGACGGUUUGCCUACCCGUAGGACCCGGGUUCAAAUCCCGGCCGGCCCG
rnacentral:tRNA from 1 species